UACGAAGGGGGCUAGCGUUGCUCGGAAUUACUGGGCGUAAAGGGCGCGUAGGCGGACAGCUUAGUCAGAGGUGAAAGCCCAGGGCUCAACCUUGGAACUGCCUUUGAUACUGGCUGUCUUGAGUUUGGGAGAGGUGUGUGGAACUCCGAGUGUAGAGGUGAAAUUCGUAGAUAUUCGGAAGAACACCAGUGGCGAAGGCGACACACUGGCCCAAUACUGACGCUGAGGCGCGAAAGCGUGGGGAGCAAACAGGAUUAGAUACCCUGGUAGUCCACGCCGUAAACGAUGAGUGCUAGUUGUCGGCAUGCAUGCAUGUCGGUGACGCAGCUAACGCAUUAAGCACUCCGCCUGGGGAGUACGGUCGCAAGAUUA
rnacentral:rRNA from 1 species